GAAUAUGAAGCGAUUUAUUGCAAUUAGUUUCGACCUAAUUUUAGGAAUUUUUU
rnacentral:tRNA from 1 species